rnacentral:misc_RNA from 1 species
GUGAAUCAUCAAAUUUUUGAACGCAAAUUGCACUCUCUGGUAUUCCCGGGAGUAUGCUUGCUUGCGGGUUAGUUUAUUACAAGUCGUGAUAAGAAAUUUUUACGUAUCUGGAUUUUCCAAAAGUUAUAUUUUUUGUAAUCUAAAAUUUAUUAUAAGAAUAGGUUAUAUUUGAAAUGAUUAUCUUUAAUUCAUUAACAAUUAUUACCAAAUUCGUUACGUCGUGUUAUGUUCCUCAUUUCUUAAUUAUGUAAAGUAAUACACUUUUGAAAUCUGACAUC